rnacentral:rRNA from 1 species
UACGAAGGGGGCUAGCGUUGCUCGGAAUCACUGGGCGUAAAGCGCACGUAGGCGGAUUGUUAAGUCGGGGGUGAAAUCCUGGAGCUCAACUCCAGAACUGCCUUCGAUACUGGCGAUCUUGAGUCCGGGAGAGGUGAGUGGAACUCCGAGUGUAGAGGUGAAAUUCGUAGAUAUUCGCAAGAACACCAGUGGCGAAGGCGGCUCACUGGCCCGGUACUGACGCUGAGGAGCGAAAGCGUGGGGAGCAAACAGG